UCAAACUUGGUCAUUUAGAGGAAGUAAAAGUCGUAACAAGGUCUCCGUUGGUGAACCAGCGGAGGGAUCAUUACCGAGUUUACAACUCCCAAACCCACUGUGAACAUACCGGACGUUGCUUCGGCGGUACCGCCCCGGCGCCCUCGGGCCCGGAGCCAGGCGCCCGCCGGAGGCCCGCAAACCCUGACUGUAUACCGCUCCCGCGGUGGCGUCGUCUGAGUUAACUGAUAAACGCAUCAAAACUUUCAACAACGGAUCUCUUGGUUCUGGCAUCGAUGAAGAACGCAGC
rnacentral:misc_RNA from 1 species